rnacentral:tRNA from 1 species
AUUUAUAUAGUUUAAUAAAACCUUACACUUUCAUUGUAAAAAUAGUAUCACACAUAUACUUAUAAAUU